rnacentral:rRNA from 1 species
UAGAGUUUGAUCAUGGCUCAGAUUGAACGCUGGCGGCAGGCCUAACACAUGCAAGUCGAGCGGUAGAGAGAAGCUUGCUUCUCUUGAGAGCGGCGGACGGGUGAGUAAUGCCUAGGAAUCUGCCUGGUAGUGGGGGAUAACGUUCGGAAACGGACGCUAAUACCGCAUACGUCCUACGGGAGAAAGCAGGGGACCUUCGGGCCUUGCGCUAUCAGAUGAGCCUAGGUCGGAUUAGCUAGUUGGUGGGGUAAUGGCUCACCAAGGCGACGAUCCGUAACUGGUCUGAGAGGAUGAUCAGUCACACUGGAACUGAGACACGGUCCAGACUCCUACGGGAGGCAGCAGUGGGGAAUAUUGGACAAUGGGCGAAAGCCUGAUCCAGCCAUGCCGCGUGUGUGAAGAAGGUCUUCGGAUUGUAAAGCACUUUAAGUUGGGAGGAAGGAUUGUAGAUUAAUACUCUGCAAUUUUGACGUUACCGACAGAAUAAGCACCGGCUAACUCUGUGCCAGCAGCCGCGGUAAUACAGAGGGUGCAAGCGUUAAUCGGAAUUACUGGGCGUAAAGCGCGCGUAGGUGGUUUGUUAAGUUGGAUGUGAAAUCCCCGGGCUCAACCUGGGAACUGCAUUCAAAACUGACUGACUAGAGUAUAGUAGAGGGUGGUGGAAUUUCCUGUGUAGCGGUGAAAUGCGUAGAUAUAGGAAGGAACACCAGUGGCGAAGGCGACCACCUGGACUAAUACUA